UUCACUGGUUUCAGCCUCUAGAAUCUGGAAUGGUUGGACGAAAAUCAACAAACCCAUCUCCCAAACUGCCCCAAAACAACGCCUGUGUACUCAACCUGGCCGUACCAGCUUAAGCAUUGGAGCUAUUAUUCCUGUUCUUGUUCUCAUUCUAACCAGAAUAGGGGCUAUAGUAGCAGCAGCAGCCUUUUGGCCUUGAAUGAUCUGAGCGACAACAGGAGCUCCAGAAAGCAGAAGACCCGGAAAGGCCGUGGCAUCGGGUCGGGCAAAGGGAAAGCUGCAGGGAGGGGUCACAAAGGUCAAAAGGCCAGAGGGACUAUUAAGUUUGGAUUUGAAGGUGGCAAAAUCCCUCUUCGCCGCCGCCUCCCCAAACGUGGGUUUAAGAACCCUUUUAGCCUCAGUUUUCAGGUGAAUUCAAUAAGUCUAUCCACCCAGUCUUCGUUAUUACUGAUCUUUUAUCCUUUUCUGCAGUAGGAUGUACUUAAUUCCGUUGAUUGUUCUUUCUUUUUUUGUGGGAAAAUUAGUGAAAAGGGUGUGUUCUUGAAGCUCCAAUGAUGAAUGGGCCACAAAUUUGGGCUAUUGAUUGAAUGUAAUUCUAAAUGCACACAAAUAUAUUUACUUUUUGUAGAAAAGUCGGUAGAGAUGCCCCUUAACAGAAGCUGCUCAAAUUUAUGCGCCCUUUUCAAUAAUUUUUCCCGUGGUAUUCUUUUUGUGAUUGAUUAGUACCAAGUUUACUGAUUUUGUUGUUGAUUUAGUUUGUGUAUUAGUUCUUCACUGUGAGAUGGAGAAUAUGAGAGUCGAUUUUUUUGUUUGGAGGAUGAUUAUUAGCACUUUGGUGAUUUUUGAAGCAAUGUAGGGUUAAUUUGGUUUGGAAAGUGUUAUUAAGCUUGUAAGAGUGGUUUUUCUUCAACAAAUUUCUGUAUCAUGAAGUUGGUUGCAAGAAAAAGGGGAAACAAAUUUGGCAAGAUUUUUGUUGUGAAUGGGAACUAUUUGUAUUGAAGUUACCAGUAUUGGAUUUGAACUACUUAAACCUUGUUACAUAUACACACAAAUUGAGAAGUUUAGGAUGUAUGCAAAUGACAGGGUUGUCAGGUUGGCUAUACAACUCAUUGCAGGAGUCUUGCUCACUGGAAAAUAUGCAGAGGAAGAUAAUUUUGGAACUAUGUGUUGUGUAGUGAGGGAAAAAUGUGCUGCUCACCUAGAUUUGCUUAGAAUGUUGUGUGGUGUUUAUUGUCCUUCCUUUGGAUGAAAAGCAACUAUUUAGUAGCUUGAAUCCACAAUUUAGAUUUCUUUUGUUGGUUGCCCCUAGCAGAAUUAUGAUGUUUUCUGCAAGGAGUCUGAAUAAUUGUCCUGAACAACUGUAAAGACAUAGUACUCAAAACCAAAUGAACUGCAUGCUUAUGUCCAAUUCAAAGCUACAAGCAAGUCUAGCACUUUUCAUUGCUGAAGUAAGUGACCAUGAUGAAGUACAGGAAAAGCACAAAAUGCGCAAAGUGAAGAACAAGCCUGGCGCUAUUUUAGCUUUGCUUUUCUUAAAGGCCAUUGGAUCUGUUUUUGUCUUAUAUUGACCCUUGGUCAGUGAGCAGUGGGAUUAGUUCAUUGGGCUCAGUGGAUAAGUUAUUAUAAUUAUACAAAAGCCUUAGAUGACUUGAUUAAUGAAGUGUAGGAGCUUAAUAGUUGUACUCAUUAAUGCUGCUUUAGACUAUUGAUUCUUGAGGCAUAUCUAAUUUUUUUGCUGCACUUGUAUUAUGGUGCAUAUGUUAUUUGUUAUGGUAUUUCAGUUUAUACAUAUAAUCUUUGAUGGACUUAUUUUCUCUGUUUAUGCUAGAAUCUGUUAUUCAGCAUGCAUGUUUUAUUGCUUAAGACGUUCAUGAACAUUAUUGUUUGACAGUUGUGAGUUCACGAACAUUAUUGUUUAAGCUGCAAAUUUAUAGGUUAUUUUGUGUUCUUAAGAGAGGAAGAAUUAUAAAUAGGUAAGAAUUAUAAAUCAACAACCAAGUAAGAGAAAGAAUCAUCAAAUAGGUAAGAAUUAUAAAUCCAAAGAACCUAGAAAGUAGAACAGAAAAAUUUUAAGCUCAAGAAAUUAUUAGAUAUUGUAUAUAUCUAAGCCAAUAUCUUAGUGAAAAUUCAAAGAGCUUCUUCCAUGCUCCUCGUACUCACCACAUAAAGUGUUGCCUCUCAUACAAAUUAUCAAAACCAAAAUCAUCAAAAUCUCAAAAAAAAAAAAAAAAAAAAGAGAGAAAGACAGCCUAAAAAAGGGAAGAAAGAUAGAAAAAUAAGAAAAUAUGUAUAUUCACCCUUGCAAGUUAAAGUUGUUCAAUAUUGAGAGUCCGAGGCUCAUUUUCAAUAGAUGAUGUCCUAUCCAAAGAAACCAUUGUUGCUCCCUCCAUUCUUGAACACUUUUAAUCUAUCAAUCAAACAAUCAUUUGAAUUGAUAACAAAAAGAAUAGGAUCCAAUAUGAAAUCCUGAUUGGGAGAAAUGGUAGUAUAUAACUAUAUAUAAACCGAGGUCAUGGUGGGCUAGAGUUGAAUAAGAAUUACGUGUCAUGAAUAUAGACCUAUUAAUGUAUAACAAAAAAGCCACUGAAUAUACAAAAAAGAUUAAUUCAAUUUUACAUUGGUUUGAAAUAUUUUUAAAUAUGUUUGAAUGCUCAUUCAAGUAUAGCAAACAAAAGAAAAUGACAAACCCAUUUUAUAAUUGUCGUUCUUUAUUUCUUUCUUCUAAAAGAUUGUUAAAUGUGAAGUACUAGCAAACAGAAAUUGUCAAAAAAAUUGGAAAUUGUCAAAUUGCUUGUCUUAGAGAAGUAACGUGACUAAUAAGCAAUGCGACACAUUACAUGUAUAGCUAUAUGCCUUUUAGUUCUACCUAAUUUUAGGCAUUACUUACUGAUUAAUGCUACAUUAAGAAUGUUAAAUAAUCAUGCCUUUUAGUUCCGCCUAAUUUUAGGCAUUACUUACUGAUUAAUGCUAUAUUAAGAAUGUAAGAUAAUCUGAUUUCAAACUCAUUUUAUUUGUGCAAUUAGGAAAAAACACACACUCACACAUAUGGCUACUAUAUCUAACAAAGAUAAAAAAAAAAACACAAACAUAACAGCAAAAUAAUGAGUCUCAGCUACCUGACGCAUGGCGUCAGGGCUGGAAAAAUAGUAUAUAUAUAAUCUUUCCAGAAAAUAAUUUACCAAAAUAAAUGAGAAAUAUUAACCCUUUGGUAUGUUUGUAUGGGCCAACGCAAUAGAAUUGGGCAGCUUCUCUUGGGCCUGUUUCGGGUAUGUUGAGCAUCGGCCCUUUUGUAUUCUUGCUCUUAGCUUGAUGAGCUGAUUGAGCCUGGCUAAUUGGUGAAUGGUGAUACAGUUGUUCUCUCUGAUUCUUUCUGCGGUCUUUCAUCUGUUUAUAGUUGAAAAACACUUCAGAAUCCCAGAUUCAGAGAGAGGCUAUCUAACUAUUGUUGGAUUAUCGCUGGCCAAAAAUCGCAUCAAGGUAGACUUUUUUAAUCCGUUUUCAGUAAUCUCUUUACUUCAACUUCCCUGCAAAAUGAAAUUUUAGAUAUUACCUGCAAAAUCUUCAAGAUUGCAUACUUCAAAUAUGUUUGAAUUCCUGUAAACUCUGCAUUGUUUUGAUUUUUGGAUGUCUUGUUGAAAUACUGGUGCUCAUGACACAGCUAGAAGAAGAAAGAAAGAGGACGAAGGAGCUGAAAAAGAAGAAGGAAUGAAGUUUAAGGAGUACGAUAGAAGGCUAGAUUCGGCUUCUUCUUGUACUUUGAGGAGUGCAUCGAACUGGUUUUUUUGAUAGAAUUUGAUGUUUGCAAAUAUGAGAGCUUGCAGUAGAUGGCGGAUAUUCCUUCUAUCUGUGCCUAUGAUAUUUUUCUUGCCUCAUAUACUAUCAGUAUUGAAGUUGCAGGAGGACUUAUCUGCACAAAAUUUGCACCGAGACAAGCCCAAGAAAUUCGAUCAUUUGGUUCUUGGAGCUGCUGCGGGGGUUGGUUUGCCUGAUCGCCUGCAGUGCGAAGGCACCAGAGCUCUUAAUAGGACACAGUUUUCUACCUUCUCUGAGAAUUCCAUCAAUGGGGACCAGAUAUCCUUUGUCACAGUGUUCACAACUUACAAUUCUAGUCUAGAUGUGCAAAUAGAUAGGAAAAUAAUUGACUUAGUAACUGUGGGGAACAAAUCAUACAACAAGGUGAACAGAUCACUGGCCAUUUUGAAUGUGUUCAUUGAUUUCAUUCAGGCAACCAUGUCCCACAGCAAAGUCAUCAUUCUUACUGAUCCAUCUUCUGAGCUUCCAGUGCACAGAAACAGGGUUACCAUACAUCCCAUUCAAGGUGAAUAUUCACGAGACAGGUUGAUGCUUCAAAGAAUCAGAUCUUACAUUGUCUUUCUAGAGACAAGGCUUGAAGAAUACUCACUGGGGAAGGGACAAAUCAAUCAUUAUAUUUUUACUGACUCAGAUAUAGCAGUCAUUGGUGACCUGGGACAAUUCUUUCGUGACUAUCCGAAUUUCCAUCUGGCUCUCACCUUUCGGAACAACAAGGAGCAACCGCUAAAUUCAGGAUUUAUUGCAGUUAGAGGCACUAUUGAUGGAAUGAAAAGGGCCAAGGCUUUCUUGGAGGAGGUACUCAAAGUCUAUAUCUCGAAGUACAUGAGAGCUUCCAGAAUGCUUGGAGAUCAACUAGCUCUUGCUUGGGUCGUAAAAUCUCAGCAUUCCUUUGAUGCAAGAAUGUUUACCAAAAAACAACCCUUUCUACAUGACAUUGAUGGUACCUCAGUGUUAUUUUUACCAUGUGCUAUCUAUAACUGGACACCACCAGAGGGUGCUGGGCAAUUUCAUGGGAUGCCCUUGGAUGUUAAGGUGGUUCAUUUCAAGGGAUCAAGGAAAAGACUUAUGCUUGAAGCUUGGGACUUUUUCUCAUCAUCUAAUUCUGACAUCUCAGAUAUGUUGUGCCUCAUUCUGAAGAGUGGGAGGACAAAGUAUGAUUUUUAAAUUUUGCUUUUUACAGUUUUCAGGCAGUGUUUAUGUCUGUUAAGGAUUUGAUUCAUUCAUUUGUGGAGAAAGAGGAAAGUGUUCAUGCCAGUGGAGAUUUGGCAUUCUAGAAGCCUGCACUUUAACUUGGCACAAAGGAAAAAGCCAUCCUUUGGCCUUCAGUUCAUUGUUUGGUGUCGUCGGUUGGCUGGUGAUCUUUUUCGUCUUUCCUACUCUCUUGAGCAUGGAAAUCAAAUCGUGUACCGAACAAAUGCGGAAUAGAUUCCAUUAUUUUACAUGAUUGUUACGAGCCACGCGACAUGCAAAUGUACACUAUACGGACUUUUUCCAUGUUCUUUCACAUAAGCGCCAUCUUUCUUGUAUUUUUUCCUUGUACUUUUGAGUAGCCUAUCGUUGGAGGUGGGAAGUAGUUCAAGAUGUAGACCCACCUAAAUGGUCUACGUCAAUAUAAUGGCAGAUUGUUUAGAAACCUGGGUUGGACCAACGACCGAUUGGACUAAAAAUCGGUCAUGAUUUUGGUUCGGUUUCAUAUUUUGGAUAGAUUGAAUUACAAAUCGGUCAAGAUUUUGAUUCGGUUCA